GUCUAGUAAUUGGGGGCAGACCCGAAAGCGGGUGAUCUAUCCAUGGGCAGGGUGAAGGAGGUGUAAAAGCUUCUGGAGGCCCGAACCCACUGAUGCUGAAAAGUCAGGGGAUGACCUGUGGUUAGGAGUAAAAGGCUAAUCAAACUUGCAGAUAGCUGGUUCUCUCCGAAAUAUCUUUUGGGAUAGCCUCGUGUUAUAGCUGUUGGGGGUAGAGAUACUGUUCGGGAUGGGGGGGCUUACGCCUACCCCACCUAGAUAAACUCCGAAUACCAUCAGCCUCUAUCACGGGAGUCAGUCCGUGGGGGAUAAGCUCCACGGUCGAGAGGGAAACAACCCAGAUCGCCAGCUAAGGUCCCCAAUUUAUACUAAGUGCAUAAGGAAGUGGGUUUUCUAUGACAGCUGGGAUGUUGGCUUAGAAGCAGCCAUCAUUUAAAAAGUGCGUAAUAGCUUACCAGUCGAGAAGUCCUGCGCCUAUAAUUAACGGGACUAAGUAUAAAACCGAAGCUGCGGGGCUAACGAUCUUGUUGAGAUCGUUAGUCGGUAGGAGAGCGUUCCACAUCAGGAUGAAGGUGUACCGUAAGGAGCACUGGACGAAGUGGAAGUGAUUAUGUCGGAAUGAGUAGCGAGAAAAUAAGUGAGAAUCUUAUUCGCCGUAAACCCAAGGUUUCCUGGGGCAGGUAAAUCCGCCCAGGGUUAGUCGGUUCCUAAGGCGAGGCCGAAAGGCGUAGUCGAUGGAUAACAGGUUAAUAUUCCUGUACCACUAACAGUCGAUCAAGACCCAGAGGGGGGACGGAGAAGGUUAGGCGAGCAUGCCGUUAGUUGUGCAUGUUCAAGCGUUUAGGCUGGAGACCUAGGAAAAUCCGGGACUCCGUGAAGGCUGAGGCGCGAUGACGAGCCCGUUUUGUUGGCGAAGUCGUCGAUACCAUACUUCCUAGAAAAUCCUCGUUGGGGAGCUGUUAGUGUCCGUACCGCAAACUGACACAGGUGGGUGGGAUGAGUAUUCUCAGGCGCUCGGGAGAACUAUCGUUAAGGAACUCGGCAUAUUGACUCCGUAACUUCGGGAUAAGGAGUACCCCGGACGGUGAAGGCUUAACGCCGUAAGCUGACUGGGGGCGCAGAGAAAUGGCCCAACCGACUGUUUACUAAAAACACAGGUCUGUGCAAAGACUUAACGUCGCCGUAUACAGACUGACGCCUGCCCAAUGCCGGAAGGUUAACGGGAGGGGUUAGCGGAUUCGUCCGCGAAGCUCUGAACUUAAGCCCCGGUGAAUGGCGGCCGUAACUAUGACGGUCCUAAGGUAGCGAAAUUCCUUGUCGGGUAAGUUCCGACCCGCAUGAAUGGCGUAACGACUUCCCCACUGUCUCCAACAUUGACUCAGCGAAAUUGAACUCUCCGUGAAGAUGCGGAGUACCCGUGGUUAGACGGAAAGACCCCGUGCACCUUUACUAUAGCUUGGCAUUGAUUUUUGGAUUGAUCCGUGUAGGAUAGGCGGGAGACUUUGAAGCAAGAGCGUUAGCUCUUGUGGAG
rnacentral:rRNA from 1 species